AGUGGCGAACGGGUGAGUAACACGUGAGUAACCUGCCCUUGAGUGGGGGACAACAUUUGGAAACAGAUGCUAAUACCGCAUAAGACCACGGAACCGCAUGGUUCUGAGGCCAAAGGAGCAAUUCGCUUAAGGAUGGACUCGCGUCCGAUUAGCUAGAUGGUGGGGUAACGGCCCACCAUGGCAACGAUCGGUAGCCGGACUGAGAGGUUGAUCGGCCACAUUGGGACUGAGACACGGCCCAG
rnacentral:rRNA from 1 species